CUCAGCUUCUCAAGGACACUGUUAUUGUUUUGUAUCUUGCAUAGGGAGCUUGUUCUUGCAACCAGACUUCCUUGAUGUCCUUCUCUCACUGGGGGAAUCAAAGAACUCCAUUUGUGAAAGCCUGAAAAGCCCUGGCAUACUUGGAGAGACCGAACAAAGGACUCAACUGACUAACUUGGCAGAGGACCUCAUAGUUUCUCACCAAGCUCUCAUCAAUAAUGAGGAAUAAGCACUGGAUGUCAGGCUGCAGAUUUCACUUUUAAGAAGGAGGAAGUCCUGACUGGUUUGGAGGAUCCAACUUCAGACUUGCAAGACCUGCGGAUACUUUCAGACUGGUCUUCAACUGCAAGACAGUUGCCCUCCUCAGCUGCAAAUACAGAAUAAGACACCAGCAGGGAAGAAAAAGAUGUGUCUUGUCAUCUUUAGAUCUGUAAGUUUCUCAAGGAACACAAAGAAGGAGAAGAAAUAAAUGUGAAAAUAGUGCCAGCUGAAAUGAGAAAAUGCUUGUAGAGAAUGCCAGUUAUCUUCCUUGCACCCCCAGCAGAGUCUCAGAAGACAGUGAAUGGUGUGUAGAGGAAAUCAGCUUAGACAA